rnacentral:rRNA from 1 species
GAUCGCCCCCAAUGGGAUCGGCAGACUGUGAGAGUAACACGUGGUCCACGUGCCCUUCAGUUCGGAACACCCAGGUAAACUUGGGCUAAUACCGAAUACGUCCGUAAUGAGAAAGAUUUAUCGCUGAAGGAUCGGCCCGCGUCUGAUUAGCUUGUUGGUGAGGUAACGGCUCACCAAUGCGACGAUCAGUAUCUGGUCUGAUAGGAUGAUCAUUCUCACUGGGACUGAUACACGGUCCAGACUCCUACGGGAGGCAUCAGUGGGGAAUAUUGGACAAUGGGCGCAAGCCUGAUCCAUCCAUGCCGCGUGGAUGAUGAAUGCCCUAGGGUUGUAAAGUCCUUUCGGCGGGGAAGAUAAUGACUGUAUCCGUAUAAGAAGCCCCGGCUAACUUCGUGCCAGCAGCCGCGGUAAU